rnacentral:rRNA from 1 species
CCGUUGGAGUCUCAGAGAGUUUGAUUAUGGCUCAGGAUGAACGCUGGCGGCGUGCUUAACACAUGCAAGUCGAGCGAAGCGAUUUUAAGGAAGUUUUCGGAUGGAAUUAAAUUGACUUAGCGGCGGACGGGUGAGUAACGCGUGGGUAACCUGCCUCAUACAGGGGGAUAACAGUUAGAAAUGACUGCUAAUACCGCAUAAGCGCACAGUGCCACAUGGCACAGUGUGAAAACUCCGGUGGUAUGAGAUGGACCCGCGUCUGGAUUAGGUAGUUGGUGAGGUAAUGGCUCACCAAGCCGACGAUCAGUAGCCGACCUGAGAGGGUGACCGGCCACAUUGGGACUGAGACACGGCCCAAACUCCUACGGGAGGCAGCAGUGGGGAAUAUUGGACAAUGGGGGAAACCCUGAAUCCAGCGACGCCGCGUGAGUGAAGAAGUGUUUCGGCAUGUAAAGCUCUAUUCAGCAGGGAAGAAAAUGACGGUACCUGACUAAGAAGCCCCGGCUAACUACGUGCCAGCCGCGGC